rnacentral:rRNA from 1 species
GAACGCUGGCGGCAGGCCUAACACAUGCAAGUCGAGCGGUAACAGAAAGAAAGCUUGCUUUCUUUGCUGAUGAGCGGCGGACGGGUGAGUAAUGCCUGGGAAUAUGCCUUAGUGUGGGGGAUAACUAUUGGAAACGAUAGCUAAUACCGCAUAACGUCUUCGGACCAAAGAGGGGGACCUUCGGGCCCCUCGCGCUAAGAUUAGCCCAGGUGGGAUUAGCUAGUUGGUGAGGUAAAGGCUCACCAAGGCAACGAUCCCUAGCUGGUCUGAGAGGAUGAUCAGCCACACUGGAACUGAGACACGGUCCAGACUCCUACGGGAGGCAGCAGUGGGGAAUAUUGCACAAUGGGGGAAACCCUGAUGCAGCCAUGCCGCGUGUAUGAAGAAGGCCUUCGGGUUGUAAAGUACUUUCAGUCGUGAGGAAGGCAUUGUAGUUAAUAGCUGCAGUGCUUGACGUUAGCGACAGAAGAAGCACCGGCUAACUCCGUG